rnacentral:rRNA from 1 species
UACGAAGGGUGCAAGCGUUACUCGGAAUUACUGGGCGUAAAGCGUGCGUAGGUGGUGAGUUAAGUCUGAUGUGAAAUCCCCGGGCUCAACCUGGGAAUGGCAUUGGAUACUGGCUCGCUGGAGUGCGGUAGAGGGUGGUGGAAUUCCCGGUGUAGCAGUGAAAUGCGUAGAGAUCGGGAGGAACAUCUGUGGCGAAGGCGGCCACCUGGACCAGCACUGACACUGAGGCACGAAAGCGUGGGGAGCAAACAGGG